GAUGAACGCUGGCGGCGUGCCUAAUACAUGCAAGUCGAGCGAACAGAUGAGGAGCUUGCUCCUCUGACGUUAGCGGCGGACGGGUGAGUAACACGUGGAUAACCUACCUAUAAGACUGGGAUAACUUCGGGAAACCGGAGCUAAUACCGGAUAAUAUAUUGAACCGCAUGGUUCAAUAGUGAAAGACGGUUUUGCUGUCACUUAUAGAUGGAUCCGCGCCGCAUUAGCUAGUUGGUAAGGUAACGGCUUACCAAGGCAACGAUGCGUAGCCGACCUGAGAGGGUGAUCGGCCACACUGGAACUGAGACACGGUCCAGACUCCUACGGGAGGCAGCAGUAGGGAAUCUUCCGCAAUGGGCGAAAGCCUGACGGAGCAACGCCGCGUGAGUGAUGAAGGUCUUCGGAUCGUAAAACUCUGUUAUUAGGGAAGAACAAAUGUGUAAGUAACUAUGCACGUCUUGACGGUACCUAAUCAGAAAGCCACGGUUAACUACGUG
rnacentral:rRNA from 1 species